GUGGAGCCUGCGGCUUAAUUUGACUCAACACGGGAAACCUCACCAGGCCCGGACACCAGAAGGAUUGACAGAUUAAGAGCUCUUUCUCGAUUUGGUGGGUGGUGGUGCAUGGCCGUUCUUAGUUGGUGGAGUGAUUUGUCUGGUUAAUUCCGGUAACGAACGAGACUCUGGCCUACUAAAUAGUCGACGGGCGUUUUGGUGCAUGGGCCCCGUUCGACACAGUCUUCUUAGAGGGAUGAGCAGCGAGUAUAGCUGCAGGAGAUUGAGCAAUAACAGGUCUGUGAUGCCCUUAGAUGUCCUGGGCCGCACGCGCGCUACACUGAAUGGGUUAGCGGGUUGUCCUUCUCCGAGAGGAGCGGGAAAUCGCGUGAAAACCAUUCGUGAUAGGGAUUGGGGCUUGCAAUUGUUUCCCAUGAACGAGGAAUUCCCAGUAAGCGCAAGUCAUCAGCUUGCGUUGAUUAAGUCCCUGCCCUUUGUACACACCGCCCGUCGCUACUACCGAUUGAAUGAUUUAGUGAGGCCUUCGGACUGGCGGUCUUGGACUGGGGCGCCGGCGUUCUCCCAGCAAUGGGGUGCCGGCGACUCGCCUGGACGGGCCGGAAAGAUGUCCAAACUUGAUCAUUUAGAGGAAGUAAAAGUCGUAACAAGGUUUCC
rnacentral:rRNA from 7 species